UACGGAGGGAGCUAGCGUUAUUCGGAAUUACUGGGCGUAAAGCGCACGUAGGCGGCUUUGUAAGUUAGAGGUGAAAGCCUGGAGCUCAACUCCAGAAUUGCCUUUAAGACUGCAUCGCUUGAAUCCAGGAGAGGUGAGUGGAAUUCCGAGUGUAGAGGUGAAAUUCGUAGAUAUUCGGAAGAACACCAGUGGCGAAGGCGGCUCGCUGGACUGGUAUUGACGCUGAGGUGCGAAAGCGUGGGGAGCAAACAGG
rnacentral:rRNA from 1 species